rnacentral:rRNA from 1 species
AUUGAACGCUGGCGGCAGGCCUAACACAUGCAAGUCGAGCGAGCGGCGGACGGGUGAGUAAUGUAUGGGGAUCUGCCCGAUAGAGGGGUAUAACUACUGGAAACGGUGGAUAAUACCGCAUACUAUCGGAUGAACCAAUAUGGUAGUAGCUAGUAGGUGGGGGAAAGGCUCACGUAGGCGACGAUCUCUAGCUGGUCUGAGAGGAUGAUCAGCCACACGGUGACUGCGACACGGCACAGACUCCGACGGGAGGCAGCAGUGGGGAAUAUUGCACAAUGGGCGCAAGCCGGAUGCAGCCAUGCCGCGUGUAUUAAGAAGGCCUGAGGGUUGUAAAGUACUUUCAGCGGGGAGGAGUUACCCGCAGAAGAAGCACCGGCUAACUCCGUGCCAGCAGCCGCGGUAAUAC